GCCCGCCUAGCUCAAUCGGAUAGAGCGUCAGACUCUUACAGCAGGCGUGGAGUAAUGCACACAGUUGUGUGAUCUGAAGGCUGCGAGUUCGACCCUCGCGGUGGGCU